rnacentral:lncRNA from 1 species
UCUUGAACCUAAUGGACACUUCCAGAUAUGUAAUCAAGACAAGAGAAAUCAAGUCCACAUCCAAGUUGAAGUGAUUCUCAUUAUAUGUGUCCAUUUCACAUCUGUGCUCGCUAAUAAAUUUACCCACUUUUCACAAACCUGAUUUCUUCUUGGUGGCACGCAACAUCCAGUGACAACCCAUAAAAAAUCUACAACAUACAGCCUUCCAUUUAUUCCGUAGUUGACU